CAGCCGCCGCGGUAAUACCGGCGGCCCGAGUGGCGGUCACUAUUAUUGGGCUUAAAGCGUCCGUAGCCGGGUUGGGAAGUCCUCCGGGAAAUCUGGCCGCUUAACGGUCAGAAUGCCGGAGGAUACUCCCAGCCUAGGGAGCGGGGGAGGCCGAGGGGAUUCCCGGAGUAGGGGGGAAAUCCUAUAAUCCCGGGAGGACCACCGGUGGCGAAGGCGCUCGGCUGGAACGCGUCCGACGGUGAGGGACGAAGGCCAGGGGAGCAAACCGGAUUAGAUACCCGGGUAGUCCUGGCUGUAAACGAUGCGGACUUUGUGUCGGACAAGCUAUGAGCUUGUCCGGUGCCGGAGGGAAACCGUUAAGUCCGCCGCCUGGGGAGUACGGCCGCAAGGCUGAAACUUAAAGGAAUUGGCGGG
rnacentral:rRNA from 1 species